rnacentral:tRNA from 2 species
GAGCUCGUAGCUCAGUCGGUAGAGCAUUUGACUUUUAAUCAAAGGGUCCCGGGUUCGAAUCUCGGCGAGCUCACCA